rnacentral:lncRNA from 1 species
UCUGGAUCAAUCAAUACAACCUUUCGACGCCACGCCGCCAAACCCUUAGGAGUAGGAGUAAUGUAGCUUUUCGAUGAGUUCCUUCUAGCAGGCAGGGCUGCAUCGGCUUUGAUCUCAGGCGAGUAAGUACCGUCACCCUGUCAUUACGACCUCUAUCAGAACUUUCUAAGUUAAGUCUUAUAUUCUGAUAUUGUCAUGUGGCUAGUUAUCGAGUUAUCUUAGAUUGCAAGUAGAACUUUUUAGGUUUUGUCCAAUAUUCUACUUGUUUUCGACGUUGCUCAAGUUAUUGAACAACUUAGAUCUGGUCAGGCUGUCUUCAUCGGCUCUCUUGCCUUGUUUAAACGUUCACAGUUAUCAGAUCGUAUCGGUUGGUAGACUCUGCAUGCUUUUAUUGCUUUACAUAUGUUAGGUUCGAUAGAUCUUUACCCUACCCCUCGUAUUGCUAACCAUCGGACCAUUGACGUCAGCGCACUACUGUUGAGAGCCAAUGUUUCAGACGGGUCUUAUCCGUUUCUCUCAGGAGCGUGAUGACAUCAUCAAGCCGAUAGGAGCGCGUACAAGGCCUUGCUGCUGUGAGUCUGUCUGUUAAGAUUAACGGGUCAAAGUUAAUGCCCUCUCACCGUGUUAGCUUGUCUAAGUUCAAUUACACGGUCAUGAUACUGAUUACACUUUAUUACCUUAAUCUUCUUGUAAGCGGUAGGCAAGAGGUCUUUGGUGAUUGUGCUUUAGUCUUUUAUGCUAUCAGAUCGAGGUUAAUGCCCUCUCAUUCGUGUUGCCUUGUCUAAGUUCAAUACAUUUAUCAAAACAUUAAUUAAGAUCUGUUAAUAUAUCUAGCUUGCGUACGGUUAGCAUCAGCUGGUUCUUGUUGCUUUGUUCUAAUCUUUUAAGUUAAUUAGAUUGAUGCUAAUGUCCUCUCGUUCGUGUUACCUUGUCCGAGUUCAAUACAUUUAUCAAGACAUUAGCUAGAUUUGUUAGCUUAUCUGAUAAGCGUGUGGUUAACAAUGACUCCCUUUUAUGGCUGUUGUGACUAAUGCUUUAUCUUAGCUACCACAUGAUUGUAUUGAACAUAUCUUAAUGGUGUUUAUUCAAAGAACACAUACCUAUGAGCUUGAAGGCUUCGCUGCCUAUCGGCUCAUGAAUUUUACGUUUCCUUGUCAAUUUUCAGGUCAAAUUGACUGGCACGCCUUGCACCACUCGUGAGCCGAUUUGGAGUCUGCACUGGAGUUAAACAGAUCUGCCAGGUCCUCCGUGUUGUUCAACGCAGAAGCCUGAGGUCUAGAUUUUGCGUUAGAAAAAUAGUUACAUCCAUUUGGAGUUAAACAUGGAAACUAGUUACAUACAUACACAUAUUAGAAUUUUGGUUUCAACUAAUUAAUUAAAUUAGCUGCAGCAAC